rnacentral:tRNA from 1 species
AAUAAGAAACAAUUAAUUGUAGUUAGUUUCGACCUAAAAUUUAGAUUUUAUAAAUAAAUCUCUUAUUU